rnacentral:rRNA from 1 species
CCUACGGGUGGCAGCAGUGGGGAAUCUUGCGCAAUGCGCGAAAGCGUGACGCAGCAACGCCGCGUGGGGGAAGAAGGUUUUCGGAUUGUAAACCCCUUUCAGGAAGGACGAAGGUUUGGCGGUUAAUAGCCGAUCGGACUGACGGUACUUUCACAAGAAGCUCCGGCUAACUACGUGCCAGCAGCCGCGGUAAUACGUAGGGAGCAAGCGUUGUCCGGAAUCAUUGGGCGUAAAGCGCGCGUAGGCGGCCCGGUAAGUCCGUUGUAAAAGUCAAA